rnacentral:rRNA from 2 species
CUCGGGGAAACUCGAAUUAAUACCCGCAUACGACCUACGGGUGAAAGGGGGCGCAAGCUCUUGCUAUUAGAUGAGCCUAAAUCAGAUUAGCUAGUUGGUGGGGUAAAGGCCCACCAAGGCGACGAUCUGUAACUGGUCUGAGAGGAUGAUCAGUCACACCGGAACUGAGACACGGUCCGGACUCCUACGGGAGGCAGCAGUGGGGAAUAUUGGACAAUGGGGGCAACCCUGAUCCAGCCAUGCCGCGUGUGUGAAGAAGGCCUUUUGGUUGUAAAGCACUUUAAGCAGGGAGGAGAGGCUAAUGGUUAAUACCCAUUAGAUUAGACGUUACCUGCAGAAUAAGCACCGGCUAACUCUGUGCCAGCAGCCGCGGUAAUACAGAGGGUGCGAGCGUUAAUCGGAAUUACUGGGCGUAAAGCGAGUGUAGGUGGCUCAUUAAGUCACAUGUGAAAUCCCCGGGCUUAACCUGGGAACUGCAUGUGAUACUGGUGGUGCUAGAAUAUGUGAGAGGGAAGUAGAAUUCCAGGUGUAGCGGUGAAAUGCGUAGAGAUCUGGAGGAAUACCGAUGGCGAAGGCAGCUUCCUGGCAUAAUAUUGACACUGAGAUUCGAAAGCGUGGGUAGCAAACAGGAUUAGAUACCCUGGUAGUCCACGCCGUAAACGAUGUCUACUAGCCGUUGGGGUCCUUGAGACUUUAGUGGCGC